GCCAUAUAGGAGACAGACCCAGGGAACUGAAACAUCUAAGUACCUGGAGGAAAAGAAAGAAAAAUCGAUUCCCGUAGUAGCGGCGAGCGAAGUGGGAAGAGCCCAAACCGGCACUAGCCGGGGUUGUAGGACCUUCAUAAUUGACAAAUCAUGAUAGCCGAGUGGUCUGGGAAGGCCAACCGGAGAGGGUGAGAGUCCCGUAGGUGAAAUUGUGAAAUGCAUGGAAGGAAUCCUGAGUACGGCGGGACACGUGGAAUCCCGUCGGAAUCAACGAGGACCAUCUCGUAAGGCUAAAUACUACCUAGUGACCGAUAGUGAACCAGUACCGUGAGGGAAAGGUGAAAAGAACCCCGGAAGGGGAGUGAAAGAGAACCUGAAACCGUGUGCCUACAAAUAGUCAGAGCCCGUUAAUGGGUGAUGGCGUGCCUUUUGUAGAAUGAACCGGCGAGUUACGAUCCCGUGCAAGGUUAAGCAGAAGAUGCGGAGCCGUAGCGAAAGCGAGUCUGAAUAGGGCGAAGAGUACGAUGUUGUAGACCCGAAACCGUGUGAGCUAGCCAUGAGCAGGCUGAAGGUCAGGUAACACUGACUGGAGGGCCGAACCAGGGCACGUUGAAAAGUGCUUGGAUGACUUGUGGCUAGGGGUGAAAUUCCAAUCGAACACGGAUAUAGCUGGUUCUCUCCGAAAUAGCUUUAGGGCUAGCCUCGAUGGCAAGUCUACUGGAGGUAGAGCACUGAAUGGGUGAUGGCCCCACCUCGGGGUACUGAUCUCAAUCAAACUCCGAAUGCCAGAUAGAUAUCAUCGGGAGUCAGACUGUGGGUGAUAAGGUCCAUGGUCAAAAGGGAAAGAGCCCAGACCGCCAGCUAAGGCCCCCAAGUGUCCGUUAAGUGGAAAAGGAUGUGGAGAUGCACAGACAACUAGGAGGUUGGCUUAGAAGCAGCCAUCCUUUAAAGAGUGCGUAAUAGCUCACUAGUCGAGUGACUCUGCGCCGAAAAUGUACCGGGGCUAAACGGACCGCCGAAGCUGCGGAUUGACACUUAGGUGUCAGUGGUAGGAGAGCGUUCUAACAGCGGAGAAGCAGUACCGGAAGGAGCUGUGGAGCGGUUAGAAGUGAGAAUGCCGGUGUGAGUAGCGAAAGAUAGGUGAGAAUCCUAUCCAUCGAAAGCCUAAGGUUUCCAGGGGAAGGCUCGUCCGCCCUGGGUAAGUCGGGACCUAAGGUGAGGCCGAAAGGCGUAGCCGAUGGACAACAGGUUGAUAUUCCUGUACCACUUAUUAAACUGAUGGAGUGACGGAGAAGGCUAAGUUGAGCGUGUUAAUGGAUUCACGUGUAAGCAGUGAGGUGGUCAUGUAGGCAAAUCCGCAUGGCAUAACAUUGAGCUGUGAUGCCGAAGCCGUAUGGCGAAGUCAACUGAUGUCACGCUUCCAAGAAAAGCUUCUAGGGUUAAUUUAGUAAGUGCCCGUACCGAUAACCGACACAGGUAGGCGAGGAGAGAAUCCUAAGAUGAGCGAGAGAACUCUUGUUAAGGAACUCGGCAAAAUGACCCCGUAACUUCGGGAGAAGGGGUGCUUGUGAAAGCAAGCCGCAGUGAAUAGGCCCAGGCGACUGUUUAUCAAAAACACAGGUCUCUGCUAAACCGCAAGGUGAUGUAUAGGGGCUGACGCCUGCCCGGUGCUGGAAGGUUAAGAGGAGAGGUUAGCGCAAGCGAAGCUUUGAAUUGAAGCCCCAGUAAACGGCGGCCGUAACUAUAACGGUCCUAAGGUAGCGAAAUUCCUUGUCGGGUAAGUUCCGACCCGCACGAAAGGCGUAACGAUCUGGGCGCUGUCUCAACAAGAGACUCGGUGAAAUCAUAGUACCUGUGAAGAUGCAGGUUACCCGCGACAGGACGGAAAGACCCCGUGGAGCUUUACUGUAGCUUGAUAUUGAGCACUGGUGACACAUGUACAGGAUAGGUAGGAGACGAAGAAGCCAGGACGCCAGUCUUGGUGGAGUCGCUGUUGGGAUACUACCCUUGUGUUACUGGGGUUCUAACCCGUGGCCAUGAUCUGGUCAGGGAACAGUGUCAGGU
rnacentral:rRNA from 1 species